AAUAGCCUAACGGCUGAACCAGCAACUUGGAAGAAUGUAUAACUAUUUAAGUAUAAAAUUCUAUAUAUAAACUGAUAAUGACAAUUUAUAUAUAUUAGUAUUGACCAAAUUACGUGCCAGCAGUCGCGGUAAUACGUAGAAUACAAGUGUUAUUCAUCUUUAUUGGGUUUAAAGGGUACCUAGACGGAAAAUCAAGCCUAAACAAGUGGGAACUAAUUUUCUAGAGUUUUAUGGGUGAAUGGGGAACCAUUGGAGUAAAGUCAACAUUUUUUGAUACCAAUGAGACGGGUGACGGUGUAGACGCCAUUCUAUGUAAAAACUGACGUUGAGGGACGAAGCCUUGGGUAGCGAUAAGGAUUAGAUACCCUAGUAGUCCUUGGAGAAAAUUAUGAGUGUCAUAGGCUAGAUAAACUAGUUUAUAAAUGAAAGUGUAAGCACUCCACCUCAUGAGUAAAGCGGCAACGCCGAAAUUGAAAUCAUUAGACCGUGUCUGAAACCAGUAGUGAAGUAUGUUAUUUAAUUCGAUGAUCCGCGAAUAAUCUUACCACGUUUUGAAUACAUAAAGGUUCAUACAAGCGCUGCACGGCUGUCUUCAGUUAAUGUCGUGAGAUUUUGGUUUGUUCCUUUAAUUAACGAAAGCCCUUGCAUUAUUUACAAUUAAUAAUUAAUAUUAUUAUAAUAAAUGUAUUUUACAUUUGUUUAAUACAAUAAUGUACUUCGCCAUUAUAACGGUAUGAAUAGUAGGGAUUAAGACAAGUCAUCAUGGCCUUAAUAACG
rnacentral:rRNA from 1 species